rnacentral:piRNA from 1 species
UGCCUAGAUUAAGGGUGGGUCUGCCUUUC